GGUAGCGCUGGACAGAAUAAAGAAACCCAGCCCAAACCGACCAAACCAUGUGGCCCCUUAGACACCGGUUCGGGUGAGUCGGUUUUUCGGUUUGACGGUUUGAAUAAUCUUGGGUUCACAUGGGUUAAACCGGUCGGUUUAGGUUUGAAUUUAUGGACCCGAUGAUAUCCUAAACCGACCGGUUCAGUAGAAAUUAUGUUAUAGACCAUAAAUUCCUAAAUCAAUCGGCCGGCCCAACCAAAACCAAGACUCUCUCUCAGUCUCAAAUCUCAAUUCAUUAGUUCCACUUCUUCGUGAGAUUCAUACGCACAAACAACAACGUUACUCCGCUAGGGUUCAUCAUUCUCUCAGUUCGUGGUUUCAUCGUUUAACGAAGAACCGUCGCCGUCCAUUAUUCAACCACAAAUCACCACCGAUAUUGAUUUUGUGAAGGUGUUGUCGGUAAAUAUUGUUCCUACUCAGCUCGCCGACAACUUCCGGAAUAAGAAGCCUGAGGUUUUACUCUUGGCCGUUAUAAACUUCAUGUUAUCUAUAGCUACUAAUAACUAGCUGCUCAAAUAAAAAGUGAUUUUUAAAGCUAUAACUACUGCUAUGAAGAAUCAUUAGUUACUGCUAUGAAGAAAUAAUCAUUUUCUUACACAAGUUUGAAAUCACUUUUUUCAAGCAUUAACAAAUAGGCUCUUUAUCAUGCUAGUCUUGCAUCUGACAGAAAUAAGUUUAAGUUGUUAUAGAGGAAUAUUUGUUUUUAGAAUUAGUUAUUUGUGAUUGGGGCAAGUAUUUUUGAACUACUGUUUUUGCAGCCUCAUUGUUUCUGUUUUAUUUUCUAUUUAUUUUGUACUUUCUUGAUAUUUCAAUAUGAUUAUAAAACUAUUUCAUUGUUCAGUUGU